UUUGCAAGUAGCAUCCCUGCUACUUUUAUUGCCUAAUAUUUUUCAUGAAUUUAUUGAGCUGUUAUUAUUUUAAAUACUUAAGAAUCUUCAGCAAGAUUAGGAAUAAAAUUUUUGCCUGGCACAUUGACAUGCCUCAUUUAAUAUUGCAGGGGUGGUAGAUUUCUGGGGCUACCCCGGAUUUACGGAUUUUUAAAAAAAUAUUCCGGGUCUCUCGAAAAAUAUUUUCCGGGAUUUCAUUUCCUUUUGCUCAUUCAUCUUUAGCGUAGCGAGUGGUGGACAGAGGGGAGGGGAGAAUACUAGAAACGUCUCGCUUCCUGUCCAACCAGCAGGAUGCGGUUUCGCUCUUGUAUGGGGGAAAGGGGGAGUGUUCAUUUUUUCUCUAAUGCUCCAUUCUUUCACUGCCUGCCCCCGUGAACGAGUUUUUGUAUUACUAUUGACAGUUGAAAGGGGAAUGCGAGAUUUUUAUCGUUUUUUAGGGUUAAGUUUAACACAGCGAAUAUCUUGCUCUCACAAAUUACUUUUCGUUUGUUAGCAUCGGCGCGUGUUUUGUGAGAUUCUUUUUUUUAUAACUUCUUGUGAUAUAAGUUUAUUUUAUAUAUUCUUGUGAAGAGAGUAGAAAAGAAAUAUCCUUCGAAAAACGAUGAUGUCAUCAAGCUUGAUAAAGGUCUUAAAAACAAAUUCCGAUGGGAAUGGUUGGCUCAAGUGGAUGAACGCAACGAAAAGUUUGGUGCAAAAAGAUCGAUGAAGCUGGAAAGUGUUUCUGUAUUUGCUGCAACACUUCUAUCAAAUAUUCAAAUGAAGUUUUAAAGUCUUUAAAAAAUCAUUCAAAAUCUCAGACGCACAAGCAAGCCCGCGAAUCAGAUAUCAGUUCGCAAGUGUUGAAUGCUCUUUAUCCAAUUGAUGGAAAUUUUUUCAAAAUAAUGAAGAUGAAAACAAACGUACUCUGGACAUGGCUUCAAGAAAAGCUUUGCUGCUCAGUUUUACAGCUGAGAAUUCUCUUUUGUUUUCGAUGGUGCCAAAGUUAAUCGAAUUAGCGAAAACCCUGUCCAUGGAUGUUUCAGCAUUAAAUUAUAUGCAAAUGUCAAGAUCGGCUGCUGCUUAUAAAAUCAAAUAUGGAAUAGCAAGAACGAUCAAAGAAGAACAAAUCGAAGAGCUGAAAACUUCGUUCUUUUCAUUGAAUAUUGAUGAAAGCAAUAGUAGGUCUUCUGAGAGUAUUCUAGCUGUACUGGUGCAAUAUUUUUCGGAAAAUCAAAACAGAAUCUUGUUGCGUCACUUAGCUUCCAUCAAAUUAUCAGCCUCAGUCUGCAAUGCGAUGGGGAUAUAUAGCUCCAUUGUAUCAUUAUUUGAAGAAAACUGCGUACCGUGGAAAAAUCUAAUAAGUCUGUUACUGGACUCCUGUAAUACUAUGCGCGGUGCAAAAAAAAACGGCAUAAAUACGAAGAUAAGAUCACUAAAAGCUCCUCAUUUGUUAGAUAUAGAUGGAGACACCUACGAUACAGCAAAUAAUUUGGCAAAAAAAUUCACUGAGCUAUUUUUAUAACAUCUUGAAGUUUUGUUGGAUAAUGUAUAUUUUGACUUAAAGAGCAUAGAUAAAAGAGAAAUAUUUUUGUAAUCUGUAAUGUCCUUGAAAUAAAACCGUUAAAGCCACUUUCUUAGCUGGAUCAUCGGUGGCUUUAUGUACUUGUAGUUAUUGAGUGUUUUAAUUAUUUAUGGGAUGCUUUAUUGGUAUUCUAUUUUUCCUGGACUGAUGUGAUGUGGAUGUGAAGAAAUGUUGAUUGAAGUAAAUCAACAACGAGAAUUAUCUGCUGAAGAGGUAGAACAAAUCUAGGAAAUCCAAAGUGGUUUAAAGUGUAAAACUUUAACCACUGAAGGCAAAGAUAGAAAGAAAAGAAUUGUACGGAGAUUAUUUGAACGGCAAAAAAAAACUCUGUGUCUCAUAAAAGUUUAAGAGUCAGUUCUGCCCCAUUUCAAUUAUGUUAAACUUUUCCAGAGAAAAGAAUGUCUUCUACGUGAACUGCAUAUACAGAUGUUCCACCCCACAAAAAAACUUUUGACCUUUUUUUUAAAACAUGAGUUAAUUUUUAAGAUCAAUUCUUAUAAUGAAAUUCUUAAGAUUGACGUGAAUGAUUAAAAAAAAAAAAAAACCUACCUUCCUGAUAAACUUAGAUCCACCGGGGUAAAUGCUGCGCACUCUGACAUGAAAGAAAUUAAAGAGGUUUUGAGAACUGCAUAUUCACGAUAUGCAGUGUAUAUGCCCAAAAAAUUACCUUUAAAUAGUUCUCUAUUGAUUGUGUUGUCUGCCUUAAAUCAUGCCUUAAGAGGAGGAGGAACAACAUAUACUGCAUUAACAAAUUUGGCUCAUCUUUUACCGAAUGUUAUUUCUAAAGAAGAACUAUCUCUUUUAGACUCAGAACUCAGAGAGUAUCUGAUAGAUGAUACUUUAUCCUAUCAGUAAGGUAAUGGUAUGAUUUCUUUCUGGAACCACAUAAUACAGCUAAAAAGUGAAAAUGUAGUUAAGUAUCCAUUACUUUCCAAAGUGGUAAAGGCAGUUUUAACUUGUUUUCAUGGACCCUCCUUUGAAAGCACUUUUAAAUAUAUGGAUGACAUUGUGACUGACAGCAGAACAUCUCUAAAUGUUGAAAGUUUAGACUCAAUUCAAACUGUUAAAUAUUAUUUGAACUCUCUGGGUCAAAGUACAAUUGAUGUCUUUGUAACUAAAGAUCCAGUUCAUGAGCCUAUGCAAGGAAAUUUUGGACAAAAUUUAUUGAGUAGCUGGAGAAGCUACAAUCAAGUACUCAGUUCCAAGAGUGCUACUCCUGGUUCAUCAACCAUCCAUUCAGAAGCGUAGGAGUCAUCUAUAGUGGCAGAAAAUAUUCUGGACAAUGAGGGUAGCCAGCGGAAGAGAAAAAUGCCACGGGACAAUAUAAAUAAAAUAAAGCAAAUAAAAAUUGGAAACUUUUUUUAAAGAAAUGAUGAGAUGCAUAGUAAAUAAUAGGAUAUUUUUUAAUAAAUAUUUAUACGGAAGAAUUAAAUAUGAAGUGUGCUCAACUUUAAUGUGUUGUAAAUAAUAAUAGGAUAUGGAUAUAUUUAUUUAGCUAUUUUUUUGUUUAAAAUAUUUAUACAGAAGAAUUAAAAUAAGCUAUGAGCAUUUUUCAACUGGUUCAUUUCAUUGACCUUUUUUAUUUGUGUUCUUACACAGAAUUAAUAAAUAGCCUUUACGUGACUGAUAUUUCAUCAUUUAUAGUUCAAACAAUUUCUAGCUCUUUGGAUUUAGAUUUGUGCCAGUCAAGACUAUAGGUUCUAAUGUUGGAUGGAAAAAAUUAAGUGCAUCUUUAGCCAUUGCUGAUAAGAAGAAAGAGAUCAGAAGCGAAAUUUCAGAAAUAAUGAAGAAACUGAUUAAGUGAAGGCUGGAAAUUAUUUUUUUUAUUAUUUCCCAAAUAAAAAAAGUUUUCUGCAA
rnacentral:lncRNA from 1 species